UUGGAGGGCAAGUCUGGUGCCAGCAGCCGCGGUAAUUCCAGCUCCAAUAGCGUAUAUUAAAGUUGUUGCAGUUAAAAAGCUCGUAGUUGAAUUUCGGGAUCAAAUAAUCGGUCGUGCCUCCGGUACGUACUGGUUUUAUUGGUUCCUCCCUUCUGACGAACCAUGAUGUCAUUAAUUUAAUGUGGUGGAGAAUCAGGACUGUUACCUUGAAAAAAUUAGAGUGUUUAAAGCAGGCUAACGCUUGAAUACGUUAGCAUGGAAUAAUGAAAUAGGACGUUCGACCCUAUUUUGUUGGUUUCUAGGAUCGACGUAAUGAUUAAUAGGGAUAGUUGGGGGCAUUAGUAUUCAAUUGUCAGAGGUGAAAUCCUUGGAUUUAUUGGAGACUAACUACUGCGAAAGCAUUUGCCAAGGAUGUUUUCAUUAAUCAAGAACGAAAGUUAGGGGAUCGAAGACGAUCAGAUACCGUCGUAGUCUUAACCAUAAACUAUGCCGACUAGGGAUCGGAUGAUGUUAAUUUUUUAAUGACUCAUUCGGCGCCUUACGGGAAAC
rnacentral:rRNA from 1 species